CCCCUAGAUGUUCUGGGCCGCACGCGCGCUACACUGACGAAUGCAACGAGCUUAUAACCUUGGCCGAAAGGUCUGGGUAAUCUCCAAAUUUCGUCGUGAUGGGGAUAGAUUAUUGCAAUUAUUAAUCUUCAACGAGGAAUGCCUAGUAAGCGCAAGUCAUCAGCUUGCGUUGAUUACGUCCCUGCCCUUUGUACACACCGCCCGUCGCUCCUACCGAUUGAAUGGUCCGGUGAAGCGUUCGGACCGUGGCCUUUGGACGGUUCGCCGUCUGUUGGCUGCGGGAAGUUCGUUAAACCUUAUCAUUUAGAGGAAGGUGAAGUCGUAACA
rnacentral:rRNA from 1 species